UGGGAGAAGUCAUUCUGCUCCAGAGGGACUGAUGGCUGUGCCAUGGGGCUUCUCAGGAGCUUGGGAUUGAGUUGGGCGUCAGUGCUGGGAGGGUUCAAGACCUGGGGUAGGGGUGGGGGGCUCAGUUAGGAGCCCAGGUGGGUGGAUGAUCCUUGUGGCAGAUGCAGCAUGCUCAGCUCAGGGGUGCCAUGGGGGUGGCCCCUGCACUGCCAUGGGGCAGUGACCUUGGGCCUGCAGGGACAGGGGACACCCACUGCCCCCCUCCAUGGAGCAGGGCAGCCAGGGGGUAGAGCAGCCUCUGCUGGGGCAUUGGGCAUUGCUGUAGGUACAGAGAAGGCCAAAUCAGGAUGCCAGAUAUGGGUCCAACUCUGAGUCUGGGUCAGCAAGGCCAAGCUGCAGCUCUGAUGGGGUCGAGCACAAGAUGCCCAGGUCAGAGCAGCUCCCCUGGGCAGGGUUGGCCCCAGCUGUGGCCUCCCUGCAGUGGGGACCAAAAGCCCUUUCCACACCUGGCUGUGCUGGCCCUGGGCUGGUCCUGAGAAUGGUUCCAAACCUCCAUGAGUGAGGAUAUUCCAAGGUCCUUACACACACAAAGACCCAUCAAUAGACACCCAAUUCUACUUCUAUGGAUUGAUGUUCAAGGGAUGUCCCCAUCAUGUAUCAAAUCCGUGUUGGACGGGGCUUGGAGCAUCCUGGGAUAGUGGAAGGUGUCCCUGCUCAUGGCAGGGGUGGAAUGAGGGAAUCUCUAAGGUUGCUUCCAAACCAUUCCAGGAUUCCAUGCAUGUCUCUGAGAGAUGACACCAGAUCCUGUGUCCCUGAUUCAUCCAACCUCAAGCCCCAUUCUUCUCUCCAGGAUCCAGCUCCAAGAGCUUUGGUCUCUCUGAUCAAUGGACCAGAGCUCUGCAGACACACCACAGACAUUGUUUGGACAAAAAAGGGUUAGAAAUAAAGUUUACUAGGAACAUAGGACAGAUAAUGAGAAGCAUGUAGGGCGUGGCCAGAAAGCAGCCAUGGAUACAUUGCUUCUUUCUGUCUCAUGACCUUUCCUCCAUGAGACGCCUUGAUCUUUAUGUUGCUAAAACACCACAGAAUUCCUAUAAAUCCAAAAACUCUCCUGAUCAAGUCCACAUCUCAAGGCCUGAUAAGGCCCUAGUCACCUUCCUUCACUAAUCUCCCAUAGAUUGUAUAUUUUUACGCAGCAUUUUGCUGCUGUUGAACCACAUUUGUGGAUUUUGUACCAAGUAGGGCAGUUUUAAAAGCAGUGGAUUCAGACAGAAUGAGGUGAGGUAUGGUCUCACCUGAUUGCAUUUCCUCUUUUCAUUGUUUAUCUGAGUAGACAUCAGAAAGGCAACCCUAAGGUUAUCACUUCCUGGCAGGUCAAAUGCAAGUCCCCUUGGCAAGGAUGAAGCUGUUCUUGUCACGUUAAAAGAGAAGGAAAUCAAAAUUUUUUUAAUGUUUCUGUGCAUCGCACAGUACGAGCUCACUAAGCAAACUGACGUGACCGGAAGAGACAGAUAUUUUAUCAAAGAAUCACAGAAGGGUUUGGGGACAAAGGGGCUUUUAAGGUCAUCCAAUUCCAACCCUCCUGCCAUGGGCAGGGACACCUUCCACUAUCCCAGAUUGCUCCAAGCCCCAUCCAACCUGGCCUUGGACACUUCCAGGGAUCCAGGGACAGCCACGGCUUCUCUGGGCAACCUGUGCCAGGGCCUCACCCCCAUCAUAGGAAAGACUGGUUGGGACUGGUUCCUACUUCUGCCUGCACCCACCAGCCUGUUUUGCCCAUCCCAGGCAGUUAAUGCCAGGCAACCACAGCCCGGUGCCGCUGUGCCGCGGGUGUCACAAGAGGUGUUGCACGGGGACAACGGUGACGAUUGCAACAGCCCCAGGAGGCACCUCAGCCGCUGCCAUUGCAUCAGAGAGGGAUAAGGAGAAGCCCCAGCGUCCCCACAUGGAUGGGUGGCUUUGUGAUUGGCCAAGGGGAGAUGUGUCAGCAAAAAUCAUUGAAUGUCCCCAUGGCUUGCAACGAUAUAAAAUCAGAGCGUUUUGGCCAAAAAAGUGCUCCUUGGACCCAAGGGCCACUGGCCACAAGUGAUUCCUGUUGGGUUUGUUGCUGCCUGAACACCAAGAUCUUCAUCAGCCCUGUGAAGAGCCGCGAGAGGCAGCAGCCAUGAAGAUCCUGUUCCUGCUCUUCCCCCUGAUCCUCCUGCUGGUGCAGGGUGCUGCAGCUGGAUGCAGGCAAAGAGGGGGAUACUGCACUUACGGGAGAUGCCAGUUCCCUGCAAGACCCAUUGGAAGAUGCACACUGUACAGUGUGUGCUGCAAGAGAUAAGUAUGUAGGAUCAAGACCUGAAAUUCCUGAGAAGGACAUCCUGCUCACUUCUGGCUCCUGGACCCAUCUCCUGAUGUCCCCUCCCGUCCCUGCCUGUGCCGUGCCCAGCUGCGGUGACAGCAGCAGUGGCAGCUGCUCCUGCUGGGCGCUGCUGGGCUGGAGCCCUCUGCUGCCAGCGCCGGUGUCUCUGGGGCAGGGGCUGCUUUUCGCGGCUUGAAUAAAGACUUUGAGCACGUUGGCAUUGCA